UACAGAGGGUGCGAGCGUUAAUCGGAAUUACUGGGCGUAAAGCGCGCGUAGGCGGCUUUGCAAGUCGAGUGUGAAAUCCCCAGGCUUAACCUGGGAACUGCAUUCGAGACUGCAUAGCUAGAGUAUGGGAGAGGGAAGUGGAAUUUCAGGUGUAGCGGUGAAAUGCGUAGAUAUCUGAAGGAACAUCAGUGGCGAAAGCGACUCCUGGACCAAUACUGACGCUCAUGUGCGAAAGCGUGGGGAGCAAACAGG
rnacentral:rRNA from 1 species